AUUGAACGCUAGCGGGAUGCCUUACACAUGCAAGUCGAACGGAGUGGCGAACGGGUGAGUAAUGUAUCGGAACGUGCCCAGUAGCGGGGGAUAACUACGCGAAAGCGUAGCUAAUACCGCAUACUAUUGGCGCGGCCGAUAUCGGAUUGGCUAGUUGGUGGGGUAACGGCUCACCAAGGCGACGAUCAGUCGCUGGUUUGAGAGGACGACCAGCAAGACUGGGACGUAGAAACGGCCAAUACUCCUACGGGAGGCAGCAGUGGGGAAUUUUGGGCAAUGGGGGAAACCCUGAUCCAGCCAUCCCGCGUGUGCGAUGAAGGCCUUCGGGUUUUAAAGCACUUUUGGAAGGAAAGCGGUACCUGCAGAAUAAGCACCGGCUAACUACGUGCCAGCAGCCGCGGUAAUUC
rnacentral:rRNA from 1 species